CAGCAGGUUAACUACAGGCCUGUUGUGUACUGGUUUGUCGUUCCCCCUGCUAAAAUCAAACUGGUUCCUACUAUCCCUGUCUGCCUGAAUCCCACGGCUUACAGGGACGCUUGGUCUCAGACAU
ensembl:snoRNA SNORA63 Small nucleolar RNA SNORA63